CCGCGGUAUUCCAGCUCCAAUAGCGUAUAUUAAAGUUGUUGCGGUUAAAAAGCUCGUAGUUGGAUCUAGGAUUAGGGCCACGGUCGUUCAGCUUGGACGUACUGUGCGCCCGACUCCUUUUCUCUAGUAUUCGAUUGUUGCUCUUCACUGAGUGACUUUAGUUGCUGGAACUUUUACCUUGAAAAAAUUGAAGUGCUCAAAGCAGGUUUUGCCUGAACAUUGCUGCAUGGGAUAAUUGAAUAGGAUUUUGGUCCUAUUUUGUUGGUUUCGGGACUCGAAAUAAUGAUUAAUAGGGACAGACGGGGGCAUUCGUAUUGCUGCGUUAGAGGUGAAAUUCUUGGAUCGCAGCAAGACGAACUACUGCGAAAGCAUUUGCCAAGAAUGUUUUCAUUAAUCAAGAACGAAAGUUAGAGGUUCGAAGGCGAUCAGAUACCGCCCUAGUUCUAACCGUAAACGAUGCUAACUAGCGAUCCGCAGGAGUUACUUCAACGGCUCUGCGGGAAGCUCCCGGGAAACCUAAGUGUUCGAGUUCCGGGGGAAGUAUGGUUGCAAAGCUGAAACUUAAAGGAAUUGACGGAAGGGCACCACCAGGAGUGGAGCUUGCGGCUUAAUUUGACUCAACGCGGGGAAACUCACUUGGUCAGGACACUGUUAGGAUGGACAGAUUGACAGCUCUUUCUAGAUUCGGUGGUUGGUGGUGCAUGGCCGUUCUUAGUUGGUGGAGUGAUUUGUCUGGUUAAUUCCGAUAACGAACGAGACUCUAUCUUACUAAAUAGUCGCAGUUUUAUUCUGACUGCUGAGCUUCUUAGAAGGACAGGGG
rnacentral:rRNA from 1 species